rnacentral:rRNA from 1 species
GACGAACGCUGGCGGCGUGCCUAAUACAUGCAAGUCGAACGCAUUUUCUUUCACCGUAGCUUGCUACACCGAAAGAAAAUGAGUGGCGAACGGGUGAGUAACACGUGGGUAACCUGCCCAUCAGCGGGGGAUAACACUUGGAAACAGGUGCUAAUACCGCAUAAUUCCAUCUACCGCAUGGCAGAUGGAUGAAAGGCGCUUUUGCGUCACUGAUGGAUGGACCCGCGGUGCAUUAGCUAGUUGGUGGGGUAACGGCCUACCAAGGCUGCGAUGCAUAGCCGACCUGAGAGGGUGAUCGGCCACACUGGGACUGAGACACGGCCCAGACUCCUACGGGAGCAGCAGUAGGGAAUCUUCGGCAAUGGACGCAAGUCUGACCGAGCAACGCCGCGUGAGUGAAGAAGGUUUUCGGAUCGUAAAACUCUGUUGUUAGAAAAGAACAAGGAUGAGAGUGGAAAGUUCAUCCCUUGACGGUAUCUAACCAGAAAGCCAC